rnacentral:rRNA from 1 species
UACGGAAGGGGGCGAGCGUUGUUCGGAUUUACUGGGCGUAAAGGGCGCGUAGGCGGCGUAUCAAGUCAGGCGUGAAAGCCCCGGGCUCAACCCAGGAAGUGCAUUCGAAACUGCCGAGCUGGAGUCCUGGAGAGGAAGGCGGAAUUCUCGGUGUAGAGGUGAAAUUCGUAGAUAUCGAGAGGAACACCGGUGGCGAAGGCGGCCUUCUGGACAGUGACUGACGCUGAGACGCGAAAGCGUGGGGAGCAAACACGG